GAUGAACGCUGGCGGCGUGCCUAACACAUGCAAGUCGAACGGAUGCCUUCGGGCAUUAGUGGCGCACGGGUGAGUAACACGUGGUUGAUCUACCCUCAAGUAGGGGAGUAACGUUCCGAAAGGAAUGCUAAUACCCUACUAAGCUCCCGGUGUUUAGAAGACUGGGAGAAAAGUUACCGGCGCUUGAGGAGGAGACUGCGAACCAUCAGCUAGUUGGUGAGGUAAAGGCUUACCAAGGCGACGACGGUUAGGGACC
rnacentral:rRNA from 1 species